UCCUUCAUCCAUCAGGUGCCCGCACAAUGGCCCAAAUUCUGCUCCUCUGCGCGCUCCUGCUUUGUGUUGGUCUGAGUGUCCAGCAGCUGCAGGUGUUGAAGGACCCAGAAUCUGUGGCGCAAGGCGGGACGGUCACCCUGUCGUGCCGAUACAGUGGUGGAACCAUCUCUGAUGGCAACUGGCCUUGGUGGUCCCAGCAGGUACCAGGGGGCAAACCCCGGGCGGUGAUGCACACCACCAGCACCAGGCCGUCCGAUGUCCCAGCCCGAUUCUCCGGUUCCCGGUCAGGGGACGUGAUGUCCUUGACCAUCACGGGGGCCCAGCCGGAGGAUGAAGCGACUUACUAUUGCUGUGUGUGGCAUGCGAACCAGGGCCACGGUGGCUCAUUCAGGUGGGGACGUGAGACAUGAACCUCGCCUCUGUAUCAUGGUUUGCACUCCCUUUCUGGAGUUAUGCCUGGUGAUGUGAUACAAUCCAAGACCAGCAGAGCUCGCUGUUGCCAUUUCCCACCUUG